rnacentral:rRNA from 1 species
UCCUACGGGAGGCAGCAGUGGGGAAUCUUGCACAAUGGAGGAAACUCUGAUGCAGCGACGCCGCGUGAGUGAUGAAGGCUUUCGGGUCGUAAAACUCUGUUGUUAGGGAAGAACAAGUGCUAGUUGAAUAAGCUGGCACCUUGACGGUACCUAACCAGAAAGCCACGGCUAACUACGUGCCAGCAGCCGCGGUAAUACGUAGGUGGCAAGCGUUAUCCGGAAUUAUUGGGCGUAAAGCGCGCGCAGGUGGUAUCUUAAGUCUGAUGUGAAAGCCCACGGCUCAACCGUGGAGGGUCAUUGGAAACUGGGAGACUUGAGUGCAGAAGAGGAAAGUGGAAUUCCAUGUGUAGCGGUGAAAUGCGUAGAGAUAUGGAGGAACACCAGUGGCGAAGGCGACUUUCUGGUCUGUAACUGACACUGAGGCGCGAAAGCGUGGGGAGCAAACAGGAUUAGAUACCCUGGUAGUCCACGCCGUAAACGAUGAGUGCUAAGUGUUAGAGGGUUUCCGCCCUUUAGUGCUGAAGUUAACGCAUUAAGCACUCCGCCUGGGGAGUACGGCCGCAAGGCUGAAACUCAAAGGAAUUGACGG